rnacentral:rRNA from 1 species
GAUGAACGCUAGCGGCGUGCCUAACACAUGCAAGUCGAACGGGGUUAAUUCUUCGGAGUUAACUUAGUGGCGAACGGGUGAGUAACGCGUGAGCAACCUGCCUUCGAGAGGGGGAUAACACCGGGAAACUGGUGCUAAUACCCGCAUGAUGUAACGAGACCGCAUGAUCUUGUUACCAAAGGAGCAAUCCGCUCGAAGAUGGGCUCGCGUCUGAUUAGCUAGUUGGUGAGGUAACGGCCCACCAAGGCGACGAUCAGUAGCCGGACUGAGAGGUUGAACGGCCACAUUGGGACUGAGAUACGGCCCAGACUCCUACGGGAGGCAGCAGUGGGGAAUAUUGCACAAUGGGGGGAAACCCUGAUGCAGCAACGCCGCGUGAAGGAAGACGGUCUUCGGAUUGUAAACUUCUUUUCUCAAGGACGAUAAUGACGGUACUUGAGGAAUAAGCCACGGCUAACUACGUG